rnacentral:tRNA from 1 species
GGGCUAUUGGUGGAAUUGGUAGACACGGGGGAUUUAAAAUCCCCUUAGGAUAAUUCCUAGUGCAGGUUCAAGUCCUGCAUAGCCCA